rnacentral:rRNA from 1 species
UAACACAUGCAAGUCGAACGAGAACGGAUUUUAGUUUACUAAAAUUGUCAGCUAAGUGGCGCACGGGUGAGUAAUAUAUAGUUAACCUGCCCCAAAGAAGAGAAUAAUUGAUGGAAACGUCUUGUAACUCUCUAUAUGCCUUUAUUACAAAAGUAAGCAAGGGAAACAUUUAUGGCUUUGGGAUGGGACUGUACGGUAUCAGAUAGUUGGUGAGGUAAUGGCUCACCAAGUCAAUGACGCCUAACUGGUUUGAGAGGAUGAUCAGUCACACUGGAACUGAGACACGGUCCAGACUCCUACGGGAGGCAGCAGUGGGGAAUAUUGCACAAUGGAGGAAACUCUGAUGCAGCAACGCCGCGUGGAGGAUGACACAUUUCGGUGCGUAAACUCCUUUUAUAUGAGAAGAUAAUGACGGUAUCAUAUGAAUAAGCACCGGCUAACUCCGUGCCAGCAGCCGCGGUAAUACGGGGGGUGCAAGCGUUACUCGGAAUCACUGGGCGUAAAGAGCAUGUAGGCU